AAUCUCACUUUAAAACAGUCCCGCCGUGCUUCUCGUUGAGGAAAUGAAAAUUCUUUUCAAAGAUAACGAUUCACAAUUUUCGUUCGGGGAAAAAAUUGACUCCGAAUCUGUUAAGGAAUCUCGAUAGAAAACGUGUGACAUUCCGUAAAGAUAUAUGUCCCUGGCUUGUUUCCCGUUCAGAAAGUUAUAUGACUUCGAAACAUAAAUCGAGUUUCUUUUGACGCGCAAAUUCCGGAAUGCUUUCAUUACUUUCUGGAUAUUGGAUGAAGGAAGACGGCGGGGACGUAAACGGGCAUAAAUUCUGAUUGAGCGAGGCAAUCUUGACAUUAACGGAACCAGCGUCUGCGCGCUCCACGUGCACGAACAGAACUCCGCAGUCCUCGUAAGGCCGACUUUCUCCUCCGUUGAGCAUUACGCAACCACGUACUCGGCAUCUUUGGGUCGCGAAUACGGAGAGAACCAAGAGAAAAGGAACGCGGAGAAACGGUCAGCAACAGUGAAGUCUUAUCGUAUUCAUGAAAACACACGAGACGAUGCAAUUUUAUAUUCACGUUUCAUCACGUGAAUAUUUAUACUCUAUCGACAAAUUUGCUCCGGAUUUUCCAUCUUUGCUAUAAUUGUUAUACAUGUAUACUGUACCGUGUCAAUCAUCAUAUCAUAUAUCUUUUAGAAAUAUUAUUAAAGUCAGACUUUAAUAAUA